rnacentral:tRNA from 1 species
GGGUGGGUAGCUCAGUAGUAGAGCACAGCACUGAAAAUGCUGGGGUCGUGGGUGCGAUGCCCACCCCACCCACCA